UCGAGGGGUAUAGUUCUUCGGGAUUAGAGACCGGCGCACGGGUGCGUAACGCGUAUGCAAUCUACCUUUUACAGAGGGAUAGCCCAGAGAAAUUUGGAUUAAUACCUCAUAGUAUAAUGACUCGGCAUCGAGAUAUUAUUAAAGUCACAACGGUAAAAGAUGAGCAUGCGUCCCAUUAGCUAGUUGGUAAGGUAACGGCUUACCAAGGCUACGAUGGGUAGGGGUCCUGAGAGGGAGAUCCCCCACACUGGUACUGAGACACGGACCAGACUCCUACGGGAGGCAGCAGUGAGGAAUAUUGGACAAUGGGCGCAAGCCUGAUCCAGCCAUGCCGCGUGCAGGAUGACGGUCCUAUGGAUUGUAAACUGCUUUUAUACGAGAAGAAACACUCCUUCGUGAAGGAGCUUGACGGUAUCGUAAGAAUAAGGAUCGGCUAACUCCGUGCCAGCAGCCGCGGUAAUACGGAGGAUCCAAGCGUUAUCCGGAAUCAUUGGGUUUAAAGGGUCCGUAGGCGGUUUAAUAAGUCAGUGGUGAAAGCCCAUCGCUCAACGGUGGAACGGCCAUUGAUACUGUUAAACUUGAAUUAUUAGGAAGUAACUAGAAUAUGUAGUGUAGCGGUGAAAUGCUUAGAGAUUACAUGGAAUACCAAUUGCGAAGGCAGGUUACUACUAAUGGAUUGACGCUGAUGGAC
rnacentral:rRNA from 1 species